UACGUAGGGUGCAAGCGUUGUCCGGAAUUAUUGGGCGUAAAGAGCUCGUAGGUGGUCUGUCGCGUCGGCUGUGAAAACUCGGGGCUCAACCCCGAGCCUGCAGUCGAUACGGGCAGACUUGAGUGCGGUAGGGGAGACUGGAAUUCCUGGUGUAGCGGUGAAAUGCGCAGAUAUCAGGAGGAACACCGGCGGCGAAGGCGGGUCUCUGGGCCGUAACUGACACUGAGGAGCGAAAGCGUGGGGAGCGAACAGG
rnacentral:rRNA from 1 species